rnacentral:rRNA from 1 species
AGAACGAACGCUGGCGGCAGGCUUAACACAUGCAAGUCGAGCGCCCCGCAAGGGGAGCGGCAGACGGGUGAGUAACGCGUGGGAAUCUACCCAGCUCUACGGAAUAACUCAGGGAAACUUGUGCUAAUACCGUAUACGUCCGAUAGGAGAAAGAUUUAUCGGAGUUGGAUGAGCCCGCGUUGGAUUAGCUAGUUGGUGGGGUAAUGGCCUACCAAGGCGACGAUCCAUAGCUGGUCUGAGAGGAUGAUCAGCCACACUGGGACUGAGACACGGCCCAGACUCCUACGGGAGGCAGCAGUGGGGAAUAUUGGACAAUGGGCGAAAGCCUGAUCCAGCCAUGCCGCGUGAGUGAUGAAGGCCCUAGGGUUGUAAAGCUCUUUCAACGGUGAAGAUAAUGACGGUAACCGUAGAAGAAGCCCGCGUAACUCGUGCCAGCAGCCGC